rnacentral:rRNA from 1 species
CGGGAUCCCAGGAGCUUGCUCCUGGGUGAGAGUGGCGAACGGGUGAGUAAUGCGUGACCGACCUGCCCCAUACACCGGAAUAGCUCCUGGAAACGGGUGGUAAUGCCGGAUGCUCCAGUUGACCGCAUGGUCCUCUGGGAAAGAUUCAGCGGUAUGGGAUGGGGUCGCGUCCUAUCAGCUUGAUGGCGGGGUAACGGCCCACCAUGGCUUCGACGGGUAGCCGGCCUGAGAGGGCGACCGGCCACAUUGGGACUGAGAUACGGCCCAGACUCCUACGGGAGGCAGCAGUGGGGAAUAUUGCACAAUGGGCGCAAGCCUGAUGCAGCGACGCCGCGUGCGGGAUGACGGCCUUCGGGUUGUAAACCGCUUUUGACUGGGAGCAAGCCCUUCGGGGUGAGUGUACCUUUCGAAUAAGCACCGGCUAACUACGUGCCAGCAGCCGCGGUAAUACGUAGGGUGCAAGCGUUAUCCGGAAUUAUUGGGCGUAAAGGGCUCGUAGGCGGUUCGUCGCGUCCGGUGUGAAAGUCCAUCGCUUAACGGUGGAUCCGCGCCGGGUACGGGCGGGCUUGAGUGCGGUAGGGGAGACUGGAAUUCCCGGUGUAACGGUGGAAUGUGUAGAUAUCGGGAAGAACACCAAUGGCGAAGGCAGGUCUCUGGGCCGUCACUGACGCUGAGGAGCGAAAGCGUGGGGAGCGAACAGGAUUAGAUACCCUGGUAGUCCACGCCGUAAACGGUGGAUGCUGGAUGUGGGGACCAUUCCACGGUCUCCGUGUCGGAGCCAACGCGUUAAGCAUCCCGCCUGGGGAGUACGGCCGCAAGGCUAAAACUCAAAGAAAUUGACGGGGGCCCGCACAAGCGG